rnacentral:rRNA from 1 species
UAACACGUAUCCAACCUUCCGUUUACUCAGGGAUAGCCUUUCGAAAGAAAGAUUAAUACCUGAUAGUAUGGUGAGAUUGCAUGAUAGCACCAUUAAAGAUUUAUUGGUAAACGAUGGGGAUGCGUUCCAUUAGGUAGUAGGCGGGGUAACGGCCCACCUAGCCGACGAUGGAUAGGGGUUCUGAGAGGAAGGUCCCCCACAUUGGAACUGAGACACGGUCCAAACUCCUACGGGAGGCAGCAGUGAGGAAUAUUGGUCAAUGGGCGAGAGCCUGAACCAGCCAAGUAGCGUGAAGGAUGAAGGUCCUACGGAUUGUAAACUUCUUUUAUACGGGAAUAAAGUAUCCUACGUGUAGGAUUUUGUAUGUACCGUAUGAAUAAGCAUCGGCUAACUCCGUGCCAGCAGCCGCGGUAAUACGGAGGAUGCGAGCGUUAUCCGGAUUUAUUGGGUUUAAAGGGAGCGCAGACGGGAGAUUAAGUCAGUUGUGAAAGUUUGCGGCUCAACCGUAAAAUUGCAGUUGAUACUGGUUUCCUUGAGUGCAGUUGAGGCAGGCGGAAUUCGUGGUGUAGCGGUGAAAUGCUUAGAUAUCACGAAGAACCCCGAUUGCGAAGGCAGCUUGCUAAACUGUAACUGACGUUCAUGCUCGAAAGUGUGGGUAUCAAACAGGAUUAGAUACCCUGGUAGUCCACACGGUAAACGAUGGAUACUCGCUGU